UACGAAGGGGGCUAGCGUUGCUCGGAAUCACUGGGCGUAAAGCGCACGUAGGCGGCUUUCUAAGUCAGGGGUGAAAUCCUGGAGCUCAACUCCAGAACUGCCUUUGAUACUGCAAAUCUCGAGUCCGAUAGAGGUGGGUGGAAUUCCUAGUGUAGAGGUGAAAUUCGUAGAUAUUAGGAAGAACACCGGUGGCGAAGGCGGCCCACUGGAUCGGUAUUGACGCUGAGGCACGAAAGCGUUGGGGAGCGAACAGG
rnacentral:rRNA from 1 species